GGCCUUCCAUGGAUAUUUUGCUAGUGAUGUAAAUGUUUCAGCUGCAAAACUUUAGACAACAUAUGCCGAAUGAUUUAUGCUACACACAGCCUGCAUGCUUCCAACAUUUGGUUUGUAGAGAAUUGAACUAUUAUUAUCACUGGGAGAGAUUAGCGCCUAUGCUAUCAGUUUCUAUGCUAUGCAUUGCUAACUGGCAGUCCACACGUAGACUGAUUGCCAAUUUUAUAGUUAACCAUGGC
rnacentral:lncRNA from 1 species